CCCGCUGAACUUAAGCAUAUCAAUAAGCGGAGGAAAAGAAACUAACAAGGAUUCCCCUAGUAACUGCGAGUGAAGCGGGAAAAGCUCAAAUUUAAAAUCUGGCGGUCUCCGGCCGUCCGAGUUGUAAUCUAGAGAAGUGUUAUCCGCGCUGGACCGUGUACAAGUCUCCUGGAAUGGAGCGUCAUAGAGGGUGAGAAUCCCGUCUUUGACACGGACUGCCAGGGCUUUGUGAUGCGCUCUCAAAGAGUCGAGUUGUUUGGGAAUGCAGCUCAAAAUGGGUGGUAAAUUCCAUCUAAAGCUAAAUAUUGGCGAGAGACCGAUAGCGAACAAGUACCGUGAGGGAAAGAUGAAAAGAACUUUGGAAAGAGAGUUAAACAGUACGUGAAAUUGCUGAAAGGGAAACGCUUGAAGUCAGUCGCGUUGGCCGGGGAUCAACCUUGCUUUUGCUGGGCGUACUUUCCGGUUGACGGGUCAGCAUCAAUUUUGACCGUUGGAUAAAGUCUAGGGGAAUGUGGCAUCUUCGGAUGUGUUAUAGCCCUUGGUCGCAUACAACGGUUGGGAUUGAUGAACUCAGCACGCCGCAAGGCCGGGUACUUGUACCACGUUCGUGCUUAGGAUGUUGGCGUAAUGGCUUUAAACGACCCGUCUUGAAACACGG
rnacentral:rRNA from 1 species